rnacentral:misc_RNA from 1 species
AACGCACAUUGCGCCUUCUGGUAUUCCGGAAGGCAUGCUUGUUUGAGUAUCAGUAACAACCUCAGCUUCUCUCCUCUCUCUCCUCUCUCUCUCUUUGGGUGUGUGUGUAGUAGUAGGAAAAAAGCCGGAUUUGAGCAUGUCCCUAAAUCCCAAUUGGAUUCGGGGAUGCUUGAAAUACAGGUUCGACCGGACGAAAAGGGGGAGGGGGUAAAAAAAUUUUCUUUUUUUCCCCCCUUCCCCAAUCCCCUGGGCUACAAGCAUUUUCAUACUUAAUCCCGUCAAACGGAUUAUUUCCUUUGCUGCAGCCAACAAUCACAAAAGGGGGGUGAUCCCGUCCGUGUUCGACUGAUGCAGGAAGUUGGAGCAGAUCCAUGAUCUUUUGCUCUGCCAACUCGAUCUCAAAUCAAGUAAGACUACCCGCUGAACUUAA